GGGGAGAGAAUGGAGGUAGUUAGAUACUAGAGAAUUAGGGGUAACGAGGGGAUAUGAGGAGCGAUUGGAGGUAGUUAGAUACUGGAGAAUCAGGUUAAUGGGGAGAGAUGGGAGGUAGUUAGAUACUGGAGAAUCAGGUUAAUGGGGAGAGAUGGGAGGUAGUUAGAUACUGGAGAAUCAGGUUAAUGGGGAGAGAUGGGAGGUAGUUAGAUACUGGAGAAUCAGGUUAACGAGGGGAUAUGAGGAGAGAUGGGAGGUAGUUAGAUACUAGAGAAUCAGGUUAACGAGGGGAUAUGAGGAGAGAUGGGAGGUAGUUAGAUACUGGAGAAUCAGGUUAACGAGGGGAUAUGAGGAGAGAUGGGGUAGUUAGAUACUGGAGAAUCAGGUUAACGAGGGGAUAUGAGGAGAGAUGGGAGAUAGUUAGAUACUGGAGAAUCAGGUUAACGAGGGAUAUGAAGAUAAAUGAGAGGUAGUUAGAUACUGGAGAAUCAGGGUAACGAGGGGAUAUGAGGAGAGAUGGGAGGUAGUUAGAUACUGGAGAAUCAGGUUAACGAGGGGAUAUGAGGAGAGAUGGGAGGUAGUUAGAUACUGGAGAAUCAGGUUAACGAGGGAUAUGAAGAUAAAUGAGAGGUAGUUAGAUACUGGAGAAUCAGGGUAACGAGGGGAUAUGAGGAGUGAUGGGAGGUAGUUAGAUACUGGAGAAUUAGGUUAAUGGGGAGAGAUGGGAGGUAGUUAGAUACUGGAGAAUCAUGUUAAUGGGGAGAGAUGGGAGGUAGUUAGAUACUGGAGAAUCAGGUUAAUGGGGAGAGAUGGGAGGUAGUUACUGGAGAAUCAGGUUAAUGGGAGAGACGGGAGGUAGUUAGAUACUGGAGAAUCAGGUUAACGAGGGGAUAUGAGGAGAGAUGGGAGGUAUUUAGAUGCUGGAUAAUUAGGUUAAUGGGGAGAGAUGGGAGGUAGUUAGAUAUGAGGAGAGAUCGGAGGUAGUUAGAUAUGAGGAGAGAUGGGAGGUAGAUACUGGAGAAUCAGGUUAACGGUGGGAUAUGAGGAGAGAUGGGAGGUAGUUAGAAGAUAUGAAAUGUGAAGAUUUUAACACUGAUGCCAAAGACACACUUUGAA